UUAGUAGCAACUUUGCUUGUCUUGACAAUCUCUCUCACCUUUGUAUCUCAAUCAACCGCUAACUACUUCUACUCUUCUCCUCCACCUCCGGUUAAACACUACCAAUACAAAUCUCCACCUCCUCCUGUUAAGCAUUACUCUCCCCCUCCAGUUUACCAUUCUCCACCACCACCUAAAAAACACUACGAAUACAAAUCCCCUCCUCCUCCGGUCAAGCAUUAUUCUCCACCACCGGUUUAUCACUCUCCACCACCACCAAAAAAGCACUACGAGUACAAAUCCCCUCCUCCUCCGGUUAAGCACUACUCUCCACCACCGGUUUACCAUUCUCCACCACCACCAAAGAAGCACUAUGUGUACAAAUCCCCUCCUCCUCCGGUUAAACACUAUUCUCCUCCUCCUGUUUACCAUUCUCCACCACCACCCAAGAAGCACUAUGUGUACAAAUCUCCACCCCCACCUGUUAUGCACUACUCUCCCCCACCAGUCUACCAUUCACCACCACCACCCAAAAAACAUUACGUAUACAAAUCUCCUCCUCCUCCGGUUAAACACUACUCACCACCUCCAGUUUACCAUUCCCCACCCCCACCUAAAAAGCAUUAUGUCUACAAAUCUCCUCCACCACCGGUUAAACACUACUCUCCUCCCCCGGUUUACCACUCUCCACCACCACCAAAGAAACACUACGUGUACAAAUCACCUCCUCCUCCAGUUAAGCACUAUUCUCCACCUCCAGUUUACCACUCUCCACCACCACCAAAGAAACACUACGUGUACAAAUCCCCUCCUCCCCCGGUUAAGCACUACUCCCCUCCUCCAGUUUACCAUUCCCCACCCCCACCAAAGAAACACUACGUCUACAAAUCUCCUCCUCCUCCAGUGAAACACUACUCUCCCCCUCCGGUUUACCAUUCCCCACCACCACCAAAGAAACAUUACGUGUACAAAUCCCCUCCUCCUCCAGUUAAACACUAUUCCCCACCACCGGUUUACCAUUCUCCACCACCACCAAAGAAGCACUACGUCUACAAAUCCCCUCCUCCUCCGGUUAAGCACUACUCUCCUCCUCCGGUUUAUCAUUCCCCACCACCACCUAAGAAAAAGUACGUAUAUAAGUCACCUCCUCCUCCAGUCCACCACUACUCUCCCCCACACCAUCCUUACCUCUACAAAUCUCCUCCUCCUCCAUACCACUAUUAGAAUUCUCUGUCACGGUA
rnacentral:lncRNA from 1 species